rnacentral:rRNA from 1 species
UACGUAGGGUGCGAGCGUUGUCCGGAAUUAUUGGGCGUAAAGAGCUCGUAGGCGGUUUGUCGCGUCGGCCGUGAAAACUUGGGGCUUAACCCCGAGCCUGCGGUCGAUACGGGCAGACUUGAGUUCGGCAGGGGAGACUGGAAUUCCUGGUGUGGCGGUGAAAUGCGCAGAUAUCAGGAGGAACACCGGUGGCGAAGGCGGGUCUCUGGGCCGAUACUGACGCUGAGGAGCGAAAGCGUGGGGAGCGAACAGG